rnacentral:lncRNA from 1 species
UGCAUGUGAAGAUCUACCUGAGCAUUUAAAAAUUUACAAGGGGAGCACCCCUAUCCUUGAUUCAACUACAUUCACGCAUACAACACUUUACACGACAACUCUUGAUAUUGUAAAGAUGGGUGACAGAACCCUGAGGCAUUCACGUUUGCAAUAUCAAGAUUAUCUGAUACAAGGGGUGGCCUCAAAGAAACGACAAAGGAGCAAGACGACAAAGGAGUUGAGGAUGUUCUAGAAAAAGAAAACA